rnacentral:rRNA from 1 species
AUUGAACGCUGGCGGAAUGCUUUACACAUGCAAGUCGAACGGUAGAGGGGGCAACCCCUCGAGAGUGGCGAACGGGUGAGUAAUAUAUCGGAACGUGCCCAGUCGUGGGGGAUAACGUAGCGAAAGUUACGCUAAUACCGCAUACGAUCUAAGGAUGAAAGCGGGGGAUCGCAAGACCUCGCGCGAUUGGAGCGGCCGAUAUCAGAUUAGGUAGUUGGUGGGGUAAAGGCUCACCAAGCCAACGAUCUGUAGCUGGUCUGAGAGGACGACCAGCCACACUGGAACUGAGACACGGUCCAGACUCCUACGGGAGGCAGCAGUGGGGAAUUUUGGACAAUGGACGCAAGUCUGAUCAGCCAUUCCGCGUGCAGGAUGAAGGCCCUCGGGUUGUAAACUGCUUUUGUACGGAACGAAAAGGUCUCUCUUAAUACGGGGGACUCAUGACGGUACCGUAAGAAUAAGCACCGGCUAACUACGUGCCAGCCGCCGCCGCGG